CAGGUGACUUCUUGUUUUUAGCCCUUGGACUUGUCCUUUUUUUGGGAGAAUGGAAUGCAUCUAGGAUGUGCUGGAUGUUUUUGAGUGCAUGGUGAAGCCUUAUGAUACUUGGAAUAUCUGUCAUGGUCCCAAGCUACAACGUGAGGGCCAAAGUGGAAUCUGAGACUAAAGUCAGACACAAAACCAGGAGGAAGCAGUUUGUUAGACUAAGGUGUUCUGCCCAGGGUGCUGGUGCAGCUCUGUGGAUUUCCAUCCCUCCUGCUGCAGUCUCUGCUGUUCUCUGCCUGCAGUCACCACAACCUGCAGCUCCCCAGGUCUGUGUGUGCCUUGCCUGUGCCAUUCCCUGGGGGAUUUUGCUUGCUGCACCCUGUCUGCCAGACACAACUUUCAUUUGCUGCCCCUGCUAGACCUGAAAAACUCCAAAAGCUGUGGCUGUGGAAGGCUCAGAGGGAGCUGGGCUGGGGCAGGAGAGAGGGCUUGAUUGCCAUGGUGAACGUGAGGAUAAGGAGGACUGGGGAAUAGUGCCAAAUGACCCCUUAAAAAACACUUUCUACUGCAAAUGUGGGAUUUUGUAUGUUCUUUGUAGGAAGUGUUUCUGCUCCAGGCACCACUGGGGCAUUUCAGAGGUCAGAACUGGGAGGUGUGGGGUUCUGAUGGCUGGAAACCAACCCACAUCCACAGCUCUUCCCACCAGCAAGAAUUUUCCUUAGCCAUUCCCAGUCCUGGUGACCAUGUGGUGUCCUAGGGGGGCAGGCAGCAUCUGGGUUUCCAAAAUGAGUUUCUUUGAGUGUCCCCCAGUGCCUCAUCCUGUGAGGAAGAGCUGUGCCCUGCUGUUUCCCAACAGGGCGGGUCUGGGUGGGUGAGCCUGGUUCCUCCUGGAAGCAUCUCUCCUCCUUCUUCCUGACCAGGUUUCUGCUUUUCCUCUCGUCUCUUUCUCCAUCCUCCACCUCCCCCCUGCCUCCAUCUGGUUUCUAUCUGGACUAAACAGAUGUUUUUCCACUUCUGAAAUGUCCUGUACGCUCACCUCGCUGAUGUCUAACAGGGGCUGCUCAUUCUUCUUUCCCCAGGUGUAAAACUUGAAAAACUGGAGGGGUGGGGGAGAAGCAGCUCCUCUUAAUGCCUUGGUGUGCAUUUAGUGCUGGUGGAGGGAUGAGAGAAACCUUUCCAAUUACUCACCUUGCAGCCUAGAACCCUCUCACUCCUCCCAGGUCCCCUUUCCAUUGCUUGUGUACACAGAGGAUCAGAUCUGUGAUUUAUGCCAGGGCAGUGUGUAUAAUAUUCUCACUUUCAUGUUAUAAAUGUUUAGCAAAUCCACAAGGUAUCAAAAGAACCUGUGGAGGAGAUUUGCUGCAAAAGGCUUGUGGAUAAACCUUUUGGACUUGGCUGCAAAGCAGACAUGCACAGUUUAUUGCUUCCCCCUGCUGCAGAGUGACAAUAGGUUAAAUGGAGGCUUUUCCUUAAAAUAAAAAGUUCCUUGCUUGGCAGUUCAAUCAAGUGGUAUCUGUCAUGCUGAGGUCUCAUGAAGGAUUUAUUCCCAUUUUAAGUAAUGUUUGGGAGGUGCAGGCUCCACAUGGAAUACAUUAGGCAGCAGGAAGGUUUGCUGGCAUGCUCGUGGGGCUGGGAAGGUGCAUGUGCUGUGGGCACAGGGGCUCAUCUGUGGCAUCUGCUUUCCCCUCACCCUCUUUCUCCCU